AACUGAUACUACCUGCGGGAACCUGCGGAAGGAUCAUUAGCGAGACAGGUCGAAAGGCCGGCUCUCAGCACGAUGAGGUUUUUUGGAGGAGAUUGCUUCGGCAGGCCGGGGGAAACCCCCACUGGCGCGAGCGGGUGAGCGCCUGCCGAGGGACAGACGCAUGGUUGGGUCAGUCUGAGCGAAGCACAAAAAGCAAAAAAAAACUUUCAACAAUGGAUCUCUAGAUCGGAAGAGCACACG
rnacentral:misc_RNA from 1 species